AGUGAAUAGAUACCCAGGUAGUCCUAGCCGUAAACGAUACUCGCUAGGUGUCGGCCACGGUGCGACCGUUGUCGGUGCCGUAGGGAAAGCCGUGAAGCGAGCCACCUGGGAAGUACGGCCGCAAGGCUGAAACUUAAAGGAAUUGGCGGGGGAGCACCACAACGGGUGGAGCUUGCGGUUUAAAUUGGAUUCAACGCCGGAAAUCUUACCGGGACCGACAGCAACAUGAAGGCCAGGCUGAAGACUUUGCCGGAUUAGCUGAGAGGUGGUGCAUGGCCGUCGUCAGUUCGUACUGUGAAGCAUCCUGUUAAGUCAGGCAACGAGCGAGACCCACGCCCACAGUUGCCAGCGUACUCUCCGGAGUGACGGGUACACUGUGGGGACCGCCGCUGCUAAAGCGGAGGAAGGAAUGGGCAACGGUAGGUCAGUAUGCCCCGAAUAUCCCGGGCCACACGCGAGCUACAAUGGUUGGUACAAUGGGUAUCUA
rnacentral:rRNA from 1 species